GACGAACGCUGGCGGCGUGCCUAAUACAUGCAAGUAGAACGCACAGUUUAUACCGUAGCUUGCUACACCAUAGACUGUGAGUUGCGAACGGGUGAGUAACGCGUAGGUAACCUGCCUGGUAGCGGGGGAUAACUAUUGGAAACGAUAGCUAAUACCGCAUAAUAUUAAUUAUUGCAUGAUAAUUAAUUGAAAGGUGCAAUUGCACCACUACCAGAUGGACCUGCGUUGUAUUAGCUAGUAGGUGAGGUAACGGCUCACCUAGGCGACGAUACAUAGCCGACCUGAGAGGGUGAUCGGCCACACUGGGACUGAGACACGGCCCAGACUCCUACGGGAGGCAGCAGUAGGGAAUCUUCGGCAAUGGACGAAAGUCUGACCGAGCAACGCCGCGUGAGUGAAGAAGGUUUUCGGAUCGUAAAGCUCUGUUGUAAGAGAAGAACGGGUGUGAGAGUGGAAGGUUCACACUGUGACGGUAUCUUACCAGAAAGGGACGGCUAACUACGUG
rnacentral:rRNA from 1 species